rnacentral:rRNA from 1 species
AUUGAACGCUGGCGGAAUGCUUUACACAUGCAAGUCGAGCGGCAGCGCGGGGGCAACCCUGGCGGCGAGCGGCGAACGGGUGAGUAAUAUAUCGGAACGUACCCCGUCGUGGGGGAUAACACAGCGAAAGCUGUGCUAAUACCGCAUACGACCUGAGGGUGAAAGCGGGGGAUCGCAAGACCUCGCGCGAUGGGAGCGGCCGAUAUCGGAUUAGCUUGUUGGUGAGGUAAAGGCUCACCAAGGCGACGAUCCGUAGCUGGUCUGAGAGGACGACCAGCCACACUGGAACUGAGACACGGUCCAGACUCCUACGGGAGGCAGCAGUGGGGAAUUUUGGACAAUGGGGGCAACCCUGAUCCAGCCAUUCCGCGUGAGUGAAGAAGGCCUCGGUGUAAGCUCUUUCUAGCAGGAACGAAACGGUAGG